rnacentral:rRNA from 1 species
GAUGACGCUGGCGGCGUUCCUAAUACAUGCAAGUCGAGCGAGCGGCGGACGGGUGAGUAAUGUCUGGGAAACUGACUGGUGGGGGGGGAUCACUACUGGUAACGGGAGCUAAUACCGCAUACCAUCAGAUGUUCCCCGAUGGGAUUCGCUAGUAGUUGGGGUAACGGCUCACCUAGGCGCCGAUCCCUAGCUGGUCUGCUAGGAGGACCCGCCACACUGGAACUGAGAGACGUUCCAGACUCCUUGGGGACGCAGCAGUGUGGAAUAGUGCACAAUGGGCGCAAGCCUGAUGCAGCCAUGCCUCGUGUAUGAAGAAGGCCUGCGGGUUGUAAAGUACUUUCAGCGGGUAGGCCUUACCCGCAGAAGAAGCACCGGCGAACUCCGUGCCAGCAGCCGCGGUAAUUC